GCAAACAGGAUUAGAUACCUUGGUAGUCCACGCUGUAAACGAUGUCGAUUUGGAGGUUGUGCCCUUGAGGCGUGGCUUCCGGAGCUAACGCGUUAAAUCGACCGCCUGGGGAGUACGGCCGCAAGGUUAAAACUCAAAUGAAUUGACGGGGGCCCGCACAAGCGGUGGAGCAUGUGGUUUAAUUCGAUGCAACGCGAAGAACCUUACCUACUCUUGACAUCCAGAGAACUUUCCAGAGAUGGAUUGGUGCCUUCGGGAACUCUGAGACAGGUGCUGCAUGGCUGUCGUCAGCUCGUGUUGUGAAAUGUUGGGUUAAGUCCCGCAACGAGCGCAACCCUUAUCCUUUGUUGCCAGCGGUUCGGCCGGGAACUCAAAGGAGACUGCCAGUGAUAAACUGGAGGAAGGUGGGGAUGACGUCAAGUCAUCAUGGCCCUUACGAGUAGGGCUACACACGUGCUACAAUGGCGUAUACAAAGAGAAGCGACCUCGCGAGAGCAAGCGGACCUCAUAAAGUACGUCGUAGUCCGGAUUGGAGUCUGCAACUCGACUCCAUGAAGUCGGAAUCGCUAGUAAUCGUAGAUCAGAAUGCUACGGUGAAUACGUUCCCGGGCCUU
rnacentral:rRNA from 1 species